rnacentral:tRNA from 1 species
GCGCUUGUAGUUCAAUUGGAUAGAAUACUAGACUUCGAAUCUAGGGGUUGCUGGUUCGAGCCCAGUCAGGCGCA